rnacentral:misc_RNA from 1 species
UAGUGAUAUUGAUCGAUGGAUUCUUCAUUUAUCAAGAAGCUCUAUUAAAGAAUUCAUACUUGAAAUAUGGAAGGGACAGCGCUACAAAGUACCAUCUUCUUUAUUCUCAUUUGAACAUCUGAUACAUUUGGAGCUAUUCAAUUGUUUGCUAAAACCUCCUUUAUCAUUCAAAGGGUUCCGGAAUUUGAAGAGCCUUGACCUUCAGCACAUUACCCUGACUCAGCAAGU